ACACGUAAGGGGCAAGCGUUGUUCGGAAUUAUUGGGCGUAAAGGGUGCGCAGGCGGGUUUGUAAGUCAGUGGUGAAAGACUGCCGCUUAACGGUAGAGGUGCCAUUGAUACUGCAGAUCUUGAGUUUGGAUGAGGUAAGCGGAAUGUGCAGUGUAGCGGUGAAAUGCAUAGAGAUUGCACAGAACGCCAAUUGCGAAGGCAGCUUACUAAACCAACACUGACGCUGAGGCACGAAAGCGUGGGGAGCGAACAGGAUUAGAUACCCUGGUAGUCCACGCUGUAAACGAUGUUCACUCGCUGUUUGCGAUAUACAGUAAGCGGCUUAGCGAAAGCAUUAAGUGAACCACCUGGGGAGUACGAUCGCAAGGUUGAA
rnacentral:rRNA from 1 species